GACGAACGCUGGCGGCGUGCUUAACACAUGCAAGUCGAACGAAGUGGCGAACGGGUGAGUAACGCGUAAUCAACCUGCCCUUCAGUGGGGUACACCAGUUGGACACGACUGCUAAUACCGCAUACUGAAGGAGGGGAUUGCGUGUGAUUAGCUAGGUGGAGGGGUUACGGCCCACCAAGGCGAUGCUCAGUAGGCGGGCUGAGAGGAUGAACGGCCGACUUGGGACUGAGACACGGCCCAGACGACUACGGGAGGAAGCAGUGGGGAAGUGUGCGGAAUUGACGAAAGGGUGACGGAGCAAAGCCGCGGGAGGGCUGAGGGCCUUAGGGUUGUAAAGCUCUGUUAAUCGGGACGCGGUACCGGAAGAGAAAGCAACGGCUAACUACGUGCCAGCAGCCGCGGUAAUAC
rnacentral:rRNA from 1 species